GUGCCAGCAGCCGCGGUAAUACGUAGGGUGCGAGCGUUGUCCGGAAUUACUGGGCGUAAAGAGCUCGUAGGCGGUUUGUCGCGUCGAUCGUGAAAACUCGCAGCUCAACUGUGGGCGUGCGGUCGAUACGGGCAGACUUGAGUACUGCAGGGGAGACUGGAAUUCCUGGUGUAGCGGUGAAAUGCGCAGAUAUCAGGAGGAACACCGGUGGCGAAGGCGGGUCUCUGGGCAGUAACUGACGCUGAGGAGCGAAAGCGUGGGUAGCGAACAGGAUUAGAUACCCUGGUAGUCC
rnacentral:rRNA from 1 species